UACAGGGGGGGCAAGCGUUGUUCGGAAUUACUGGGCGUAAAGGGCUCGUAGGUGGCCAACUAAGUCAGACGUGAAAUCCCUCAGCUUAACUGGGGAACUGCGUCUGAUACUGGAUGGCUUGAGUUUGGGAGAGGGAUGCGGAACUCCUGGUGUAGCGGUGAAAUGCGCAGAUAUCAGGAAGAACACCGGUGGCGAAGGCGGGUCUCUGGGCCGAUACUGACGCUGAGGAGCGAAAGCGUGGGGAGCGAACAGG
rnacentral:rRNA from 1 species